rnacentral:lncRNA from 1 species
GCAGGGCGGCGGGAGGGUAGUAGUAGUACAGCGUAGAACGAGGGGCCAAGGGGCGCCAGCGCUCAUCGGCCGAAGGGGCUUCCACGGGUGUGUUAGGCUUGUGCUUAGAAGGGUAUGUGCUUUGCCCACCGCUUUGCUCCUCCAGCGUACAUGUGCGGCACUGCUACGUGGACGUACAAUAUCUAUAGUCUCUAUCUCCCUUUCUCUCCUCUCUCUCUCUCUCUCUCUCUCUCUCUCUCUCUCUCUCUCUCUCUCUCUCUCUCUCUCUCUCUCUCUCUCUCUCUUUCUCUCUAUCUCUCUCUCUUUGGCAGACCUUCGUCUAUUCGAGUGUGUUGCUCUAUCUGUACCUAUACCACUCUCCGUAUAUAUCUCUCUGUUUCUCUCACACACGUAUGUACACACACACACACACACACUCUCUCUCUCUCCUUUUUCUUGCUUUUUCUCUUUCUGUCUCUCUAUCGUUCAUCGUCUUCUCGUGCUGGACUCCGUUCUUUGCACCAUGCUGUCACACCAGUAUGCCACUACCGGCGAUACGUAACGCUGCCGCGGCUUUGCCGCGAUACUUGAAAGACGUAAGUUACACGGCAUCUCCGUCGAGAAUGGUCCUUCCCGCCUGCCUGCUUGCUCGCCUACCUGCCUGCGUAUGACCUGGGCGAAAGAGCAUGCCGGACGGGUUUGCUUGCUCGAUGCACAUGCAUUUUUAGGAGCUAGGAGUCUCUCUCUCCAUUUAAGCCUUCCGUAUUAUUAGCUCAUCGUCGUCGUCUUGCCACCAGGGUUAAUACCGAUGUCGACGAUCUGCGCGUAAAUAAUAGUAAUAUAUUAUGUCGAACAUGCAUCCUGCACGUAAUCUGAAUAAUCCUGAGCGAUCAAAAUCGUCGAUUAUUUCUUGUAACUGGUCUCCAUCGAUUUACACGUAGCUUAUUAUAAGUAAGUCAUUAUUAUUAGUUAAUAUUUCUGCUGUAUAUGCAGUCGCGACAGCCAGUUAAGUAGUGAGAUAUCGCAUCGACGAGGUCGAUCAUUAGAUAUAUAUUUUGCCUCGCUUUUACUUGUAUUUUUAUCUCCCCGCUUAAGCCUUCCAUGUUAUUAACCGAUCUUUGCACUCGGAUUAAUAUUCCGUUUACAGCUAGAUCGAACGCAUGAAGUCUAAUAAUUAUAACACCGAGCCGAAGAGUGAUUGUUAAAGAUACGUCUUUACGUAAUUACUGUUUUAAACUGACGAUUUGAUCCGAUUCACAUGAACUUAUCGUUAAAAUCUAGUUCACGAAAAAUGACGAACGUAGCCGGAUAUCCGCAUGUGAUUGACUUUCUUGGACAUCGAGUUACAUUUCCGUUACCAUAUACGCGUGUGUUUUGAUGCAUCAUUCGUGAACGAAUAAAACGAACCACACACAUCCUUACGAUAGUAUGCGAAAGGACUCGCGCAAACAAGAAGACUUUGAUAAUUCUCCAACGAGAUCGCGAUUUCCCUUUGCCGUAAAUCUGAAACAUUGCGGUCAGCCAAUCGUAGCGGGGUCUCAUCAGGUCAAGUACAAGCAACACCGUGGAAAAUCUGUGCGCCUCCUAAGGGAUGUAUGCAAAAUUGCUGCUAUAUAUGUCGAUCAACCUUGAUAUUCAAAACAAUUGAAUCUCGCGACAAAUAAAAUGUCACACGGUGAUUAUAUCAGCAAAAAUUGAUAAAAAAAUAAAGAGAUUAAAUAAGUCAUUUGAAAUAGCGAUUGCAAUAUUGAUAUGAUAUUUCGCAAAUUUCCAAAAUUAAGCUAUAUAAAAUCCCGUUGCAUGAUAACUUUCAAGUAAUAAAUGUUAUUAUAGUUAAUUUAUGAAAAAAUGUUGCGCAAAAUAUUCGAAGUUUUGGAAAAUACGACAAUUGCGACCGCGCUGAGACCUCAUAAUUUCGACGCGGCCGCAUCGCUGGAAUUAUCUAUGCGCUGGGCGUAAGUGGACAAACCGAUGAACGGUGACUGCGAUGCAGGAGUGACCUCGUAAAAGGCACUGUAGGAUAGUCUUAGGGGAAGUGGCCAAGUUAUCGGGCCAGCGUCGUAAAAUACUUUUUCUUUCGACUUUAUGACGGUUAUACCCCGUGCACAGACGUCCUCGGGGCUCCACCUGUCCGCUCGACUUCCUUCAAAAAGGCGAUCUUUUUAUUGGCCGGUCCGUACUUUAUUUACGACGUCUUCUGCACGAACCGUUUUUUUUUCCCUCCUCUUUCUCCUGCCUCCCCCCUUUCCAUUUCUAGUCUCUGGAAAACGAAGGAAACUCCAGUUACUCGCGAUAAAGCGCGAACUCGUUGGGAUUAAUAACGUUUUCAACAAUGCCGUAUGGAAUACGCAUGGUAAAUAAAUGAAUGACUGAACAUGUGAAUGCAUGCGCAGACACGCCUACACUGUCGCCGACAAAGGAAGUCACAGGCAUGUCAAUUGAAAAGUCGAAAGCGUAGGAAGAAAACGGCACUGAGUUCCUCCCCCUCCGGGGGAAUCCCUGAAGGGAUUAUUUCUAAUUCCUUCACGUCAAUGGGACGUUUGUCCCUUCCUUUCCUCUUAUCGCACGGUAGUACGCGAUAACGAUCUAAGCAACAGUUUGCUUCGACGGGGAGUAGGAAACUUCGGGACACAAGGAGCGUAAAAAAGCUUAAAACUUUCUGGCGAAAGUUCGAUCUUUCCGAUUCAAUCUAACGCGAGAUGAUCCGUGUCCUGUCUGGGAGAGAUAAUCUCGUCAUCGUUAUUAUCCUAAUUAUAAUUUUUGUAAAUGUAUUUGUUGUCAGCAUUAUCAGUUUAUUGAAGGAUAUCGCGCGCGGACUUCUAUUUGAAGCGGAAAGUCUAUUAACUGAAUUUAUUACGAAAACUUUUCACAAUAAGUUGAGUUUAUCAUCUCUCUCUUUUCACAUAGGAGUCACGAGUUACGAUAUUAUUGAUUUGAUUACUUAAUGUUUUAUUACUUUUAAUUUUUUAAUUUGUAAAUUAAAAGCGACUUGUUUAAGAUCCAUAUGCAACCGCAUUUGCCGGCAGAGUAUACGUACAGAAAAAUAUUUAUUUUACUGCUAAGAAAAGCAAUUACUCUUUUUCUUAUAAUAAGUAACGAUUAUCUUCAAUAAUGAAUAUUUUCUUGAUAAUAGUCUUAAAAUAUACCUGUCAUAAAUUUUAGAAAAACUUAUUAUCAUAUACUUGAAAACGAAUUUAUACUCUCUCUCUCUCUCUCUCUCUCUCUUCUCUUUCUUUUUCUCAAAGAAUAUUAUAAAAUUAAAUUUAAAAAAGUCAAAGUAAGAAGUCUUGCAAAUUGAAUUUUUAUUUUGAUUUAAUAUUCUUAAUUAAAAUAAUAAAUUAUUAGGAUUUAGAAUAUAUUUUGGAUAAAUUUGUUACUUAUAACGAUCUUACGAUAAAUUUGCAUAUGUAUAUGAUAUUUAUUAUUUAAAAUAAGAUAUUUAUUUAAUUCAAGUACACAUUUUUCUGUGUACAUAGAAGUUUAUUUUAAGUAAAUCUUACUUGUUUCAAGUAAAUAAUGAGUGUAUUUUAAGACUAUUCAUCAAGGAGAUAUUUUUUUCAAAGAUAACCGUUACUUAAAAGUAAAAGAAAAAAAACUAAAGAAUGAGAAACUGUUUUUCUUAGAAUAAGAAUAAAUUUUUCUGAGUGUAUAGUGCGACUAUUAGCUAUAAGUCAAACGAUAGAGAAAAAAUGUGUUUUUCUGUGCGUACCUGCGUGCACGCAUAAAUGUGGAUACAGAGAACGUCAUUUCAACGAGUGAACAAAGUCCACUUUGGCAUUAGACACCCUUGGUUUCUGAAGCCUCAGGCGGUAAUCCCCCUACCCUUUGCCGUGGCACCCCUAUAGAUCUCUCUAGCCGAACCACCCUCUCACUCCCUCGUGGCAAGACCCUUUCUACCUCUCUCCCCCCCGGCUACCCCCGCUCUUUCCUCGACCUCCCGCAUCGCCUUCGCUACCUUCACCCUAACCCUCCAUCUCUCUCUCUCUUUCUCACUCACUCACUCACUCUCUCUCUCUCUCUCCCUUUCUCUCUUACUGUUACGGUCCGUUCCCUCCUUCGUCUAUGUUUCUCGUUCCCUAGAGCAGCCCCUGCUUGCCUGCCGGUUUUUCUCUUCUCCUCCCCCGACCUUCGUCGUUCCUUACCGUCGCCCUCGCCCGCUGGUACUCUACCGACCCGGCUGCCUCAUUCCUCCUAUCUUCCCCCACAUCCGUCCCGCGUACCCGCACUCCCUUACAAAAAACCCAAGUCCAGUGUGGGCGCAACGGGGGGUUUCUCCCUUCGUUUCCUUUUACCCUCUUCCUAUCAUUCCUUCUUUACCUCUCUCUUAACCUUUUCCCGCCUCUCCCUCUUCUCCCCCCCCCCUGCUGUGCCCGUUUCCCUCUUCCAUCCAUGUUCUCCUCUUCUGUCUCUCUUGCGAGCCGUGCUGUACCUACGUUUCGUUCGUUCCGAGUCUGUGAUCCCGUCUCACUUCAUCAUACACCUGAAAGGUCGUCUCUCGCUUCCACUCGAGCGUUAGUGAUUCUCAACCGUCGCAACACAGAUGACUCCGUGACUGUGCGUUUUUCGUAGAACUAGAAAAAUCCUCCUUUGUAUCAGAGAAUUUUCUUGAAAUUUUUUUGAAAUUCUACACCAGUCGCUGAUAACAGUGGACUUUAAGCACGUUAAAUUGUUAACGUUUUAUGUAUUGCUAACUCCAUUAUUUAUUGUUUUUAUAUUUUAUCUUAGUUUUAUAUCAUUAUUAUUUAAAUAUUACGUGCUGUGCAUUGAUCAAAUUCGAAUAAUUUGGCGCCUCUUGGCCCGAUGCAAGUCGCGAUGCAACAUCGCGAUAAACGAUGGCGUAAUGCGUAAUACCGACACUGCGAAUCCGAAACUGCAUCGCGUAGUCCAGUAGUCCCGCUGCCUCACUUUGCAUCGAUCCUCUCGUAUAGUCCGCGCUCGUCGCUCGUCGAUAAUAUUCGUAACGGGAUAUACCGGUACGUAUAACGCCGACUAAACAUAUUACGCGCUGAGGUGUACCGUUAAGACGCGCGCAGGAUAUAAUCAGAUAAUCCCAUUACGGUCGCCACAGCCUGAAAAGUGAGCGCGCGAAUUGCCCGUACGAACUGAUUUUGCGGCAAACAGAAGGGGAGAAAAAAAGUGUUAAAAAAUCGCUGCGAAACUACAUCGGCCGCUUUCAAAUUCGUGAAUUUGACUUACGCGUGAUUUUACUGUUUGUUAUUCUUUUAUUAAACAAUAUCGCGAAACUGAGAUUUGAAUUGCUUAAUUAAGAGCAUUAUUAUCGAUUCUGUCACUUAGAAUUUUCUCAGCCUUUUUAGAUUUGAAUUUUUUUUUUAAUAAGAUAUAUAUUGUUUCGUUAUUUUUAAAAAUUUGAGCCAUCGUUAAAUACAAAAUUAAAGUCAAAAUUCAAAAUAGCCUAAUAUGAUCUUCAUCAAUGUUAUUUUACCAAUUAUUUAUACGAAAGAUUUGAAAGUUACACACGUUUUAUUUAACUUUGAAUGAUUUAUUUAAUUUUGAAUUAUUGGUAAAAGUUCUCUAUUCCACGAGUCUAAAAACACGAGGUUAAUAAAACGUGAGAUUUCUUCUGUAAGAUUGAUUGGCAACACAUGUAACGUGAAUUUAUCUGUAGCCUCGACAAUUGAAUUGAGCAUACGACGAGUUCAGACGUCCCCGUCCAGAAGAGAGGAUACGUAUAGCCUGCAGAUCGCGCACGGCGGAGAUCAAGCUGCUCGAGUUACGCGCGAGGAAAAAUAUCAGCAACAAGAUAUUCCUCUCUUGCUCGGUCGGUCGCGCACACAUGAUAGGGGAGAAUGAAGAAUCGCUGUUCCGGUGUUAUCAAGUAUUUUCGCAGGCGCGUUCAUAUUUCGCCUUACGCAUGCCCGAUCGCUUAAUGGCGUUCCUCUGUAGGAGAAACACUUCUUUUUUUUUUUUCAUCACGUUCCCAAUGCACAGACCGUUGUGUUCACGCGAGCGGCCACCGAAUAAUCGCACGGCGAUUAAUCGAUAAUGUCACACGUAGACCCCUCCGAUGUAGCAUUUGUGAAGUAUCCUAUCAGAGCCGCACGGGACCACCAAACUUCGUAAGCCAGCCCCUAUUCACUACCCAACUUGCGACACAGAAUAUCCAUACACGUGCGAUCGAAGUUUCUAGGACGCCGUGCUCGAGAAACAGGGUACCGGGAACAAAAUACCAUUCCACGUGUUUCAUCUUCGACCGUGCACUUUGGCCACCGUGGUAUAAUCUGCAAAUUGGAUAGCAUAUUUUUUUCUUUGUAAAUAACAGAUUACAUGACCAUCCCAAAAGUUAUUUUAUUUAAUUUACUUAACAAUUUAUUCGAUCGAAACUUUUCGUACGCUAUAGAUUUGUAGAUGCUUCGAUAAAUAUUAUUUUAUCAUUGGAAUAUUUUAUUCAGUUAUAAAAAAUACAGUUAUAAUUUAAUAAUAAACAAAGAGAUGUGACUCUCAAGUAUGUCAGAAAGAAUUGUGCUACACACUCUUAAAUGAGUUAAAUUUAUGUGAAAGAGGAAACAAGAUGUCGUAAUCGCGAUUUAUAACAAGUUUUAUAUAGUUCGCAUAUAAAUUAUAGUUUGAUCGAGGCUAGAAAUAACAGAGUGCCUUUUGUCCCUUGCUAGAGACUUAAUUUUCCUAUUCUCUCUUAUUACUUUCUUCUAGUUGCAAACUACAGAAUAUAACUGCGCCGGCCCCUUUCCUCCCCGUAACAUUUCGCCGACGCGGAGAAUGCAGAAAUUUUGCCGCUGUGCGUGACCGUGCACGCGCUCCGGACGGGGAGAGCCAUCAUCGCGGCGAAGCUUUCCAGGUGCAAGAUUUCCAGAGGAGAGAAGACGUCGGUUACCUCGCAUUCCCCGGGCCCUUACGUAUGUGUACAUCGACCGGCGCGGGGGACCGAAGUGGGAGCGUGUGCACCAUACCGACGCAAGAGUGCCGAGAAAGAAACUUCAGCUCUCUCUCCUCUGGCAUCACACAUGGUGGCCACGUUGCCGCCUCUGCCCGAUGUGCCGCCCGUGUGUGCGUAUAUGUGCGACGAGACGCCGAGAUGUUCCCUCGCCUUUUCCUCCUCCUCCUCCUCCUCCACCUUCUCUCUACCACUAAUGCAUUCCCCGGCGUUAAUACGCGAAGAGGGCUCGCACCGCGACCACUCUCCGCAGCGUGUGUAAAGACGUAACUCAGGGCCCGUACUUCGCCGCUUUCUUCCUCGUUGCCGCGCGCCGUCGCCUUCGCGGUCGUGCCCCCACUCGUGACCGGAGACUCCCUUUUAAUAUUACCGGUGAGGCACCGGAGCCGCGACGCACUCUCGAGAUAUGAUCUCCAGGUGAUAUUUACGCUGAUUCGCGGGGCACUUCUCAAUCGACGGUCCUCACACAACCAAAGACCUCUUUUCGUAGAGAAGAAGGUAGUAUUAUAACCAAUGUAGGUAUUACAGCCACUCGUGAUAACUCUAUUAUUAAGUGAGGAAUUAUAGUAAUUACUUAUGAAAUUAUUUGUUAAGUAGCUCGCGAUUGGCGCUAAUACGCCAACAGCCGAUAUUUUUUACUUCUACUUUUGAAUAUUUUAAUACUUUUUCAAGAUACAUUUAGCCUUGAAUUACGCAUACUUCUCUUUUUUUUAAACUUAUCAUUACGUAAAUAUAUACUUGAGUGUUGUUUUUUUGUUACAUAACAUUUUAGUCGACUAUACACACUUUGAGUAUAUAAAAGUUAAACAAUAACAUGGGAUUUUGUUAAUAUGUGUCUGCUAAACGUUUCAACAGAUCGUGACUUCUUUUUCAUCUUGAAAUCGUUAUUUGAUUGUAGCUCUAUUGUUAAUAUACAUAUAAUUUAUGUACAUGCAUAGCUGUUUAGUACUGCAAUCUAUAUACUAAAGAGAUCAUAUGUUCGUACAUAUAUUUACAUAUGUUCUACAAUAUUUGUUCUUUAUUUUAAAUAUAUAGGUUUAUAACGAAACGCGCCGUGUUUUUAAAGAAAACCAACUUUUUAAAUCUAGUUAAGUGACCACGUUACUAUCCUUGCUUUUCUUUGGCCCAUUAUGCAGUGUCACAUUUUUAUAAAUGACAUUUUAAGUAUUAGAUAUUUUGUAAUUUUAAGCUUAGAAUUGACAGCGUAUUUUGGCAAAUGGUAAUGUCAAGUUUUCAAUUAAAAAAUAUUGAUUAUUAACAAAGUUAUUGUGCAAAAAGUAAAUGAGAGGGGACCAUAAUAUCACCUUCUUUUGGUAUCUCUAGUGGUAUUCUAAAAACGCGCGUAUAAUACAAUAAUGUUGUAUUUUGAAAGGAAAGAAAGUUGGAAGUUUUUUUUUUUUUUUUUAAUUUUGAAAGACACAAUUGUGUACUUCCAUUUUUUUCGGGUUAAACUUCGUGAAUUCGGUAUAUGCAAAUGCAUUCGAUAAAACCCCUUUUGACUGUAAUAUGUAUAGCGCAAGGAGGAACGGGAGAGGAAAGGAUGAUUUUCAAAACACCGUUCACACAUACAUACCCAAAGCGUAUUCGCGCAACGAUCGUUGCACCGCGCAUUAAUAUGCGAAAGCGUGCACGACGCAAAAUGACGACUAAUAAUGCAUAGCACGGUUAUGCGAGAGUUAAUUAAUGACUGGCAAAUACAAAAGAUUCGCAAAUACAAAGGAUAAAUACCGUAUUUUCCCUCGAUCGCGACUUAAUUCUUUUCAUUUUUUCCAGACUUUGUAUAUCAAUGCUAAAAGUAAUUAUUUACAAAAGUUGCAUAUAAGCGUCACUAUGAGUUUUGCAUUAUCGAGUUCACAGUACGCUUCCUAUCCUGAAACUGCAGGGAUUAAUUUCGUGAGAUUACAUUUGCGUACCCGAUAUUUGAAACGAUAUUCUUUUUUCUAUCGAGAUGCGUUUUCCAAACGCGCUGCCAUCUUCGAAGGGUACGGAAUCGGAUCUGAACUCCGUGUGGCUCUCCUCUAAUUAAUAUCCGGCGUAGGAUUGGCCGAGAUGAGUAGCUAACGAGCGGAUGAGACGCGCAUGUCACAAAGUCAUUCGGUAAACGGCCAAACUCAUCGCGAGAGCAUCCCCGAGGAGGUGCGAACUUUCGCCGCAGUUCGCGAGUGAGUACCCGAUCUAACGGGGGAUUUGACGUAAGGGGCAAUUUGAUGCAUCGUCGGAUUCAUUACUCGUCUAGAGAGACGCAGUUUUGUCGCGUCUGUCCGACAUAUCGCGACACGUCUUGUCAUUUCUUCGCUUACGGAGGACGUGCCCUGAAAAUUGCCACGUAAGAUGCGAUAAGCGCUGAAAUCAAAUGUGUAAAAAAUACCGCGAAAUUCGGCAAAAUUACCAAGGGAUUCUAGAGAUAUGCGAACUAUCGGAUCAAGUAAGAUUCGAUUUCAUUCAUAUUCGAAUCGCUAUAUUCAUAUACGAAUCGAAUUAUUUGGAUCCAAACUAUUAAAAAAUUUCGAAUUUAAAAAGUUCGAAUAUAAAUCAGAUGUAUUGAUAAUUUUAUUAAAAUUAUAUUUAAAAUAAUUUUAUAUUAUAUAAUUAAUUUUUUUUCUCUUAGAAAUCUUUUUUAUUAUGUAUAUUAAAAUUUUACUCAAUACAAUAAUUAUGUUGUUAAUUAAAAAAUAAGUUUUAACGAUUUAAAUUCAAUUUAAUUCGAUUCAAUUUGAUUUGGACAAAAUUUUGUCGAUUCAGAUUGAUUUAAUGUCAAAACAUCUUGAUUCGCACAUCUCUAUUUUACUUGCCUGUUGCAGCUGGAAGUGAGAUAGAUGAUAUUUUAAUUUAAUAAUAGUAUUACGCUAAGUCACGCUUAGACAUAAUAAUUACGAAACGAUUAUCAUGAAAGAUAAUUUUAUUAGACGGUUAAAAUUAAUCCCUCCACUUUAAAGGAUUUAAAUCAAAAAAGAUUAAAAAUGUAACUUGAUUUUCAUCAAUCAUUUUCUUUGAAUUGUAAUUUUAAGAGUCUGUUAAGAAAUUAGGUUAUUACAAAGAAAGAUCUCUAAACCGUUUCAAGCGACCUACAAACACAUGUUUUCGACCGACCCUUUUCAGACUCAUGCGUCAUUUCUUUCCGAAUUUCACACGUCUGUCUCUUCCGGCACGUUCAUGUUCAAACAUGCAUAAUUGCAAACGGCUGACCUCAGGUUACUGUCACAAAAACCGGUGCGGGGCCGCCCCCCUCGCUUCGCAAAGGACUUUCCCCACCGCUACUACCUAAGUUUCCACUGCCCUUCUGACUUUCAUUGGCACGCGUCAAAUCACUCGACAUCUCCUUAAACCAAUAAAAUAUCGGAAGAAAAGCUACGCAAUACGGUCAGAGUGGGGACCGCGUUCGAAAAGACACGUUCGACAUUCAUUAGGUAGUCUGCCGAAUGCUUUGAGAUAGUUUAGAUGUAACUACUGUUCGACUUUUCUCUCUGCGAUUCUACACAAGUGUGAGCGCAACUUCGAUUUCCAUCGAAAGCGAUAACGCGAGUUUAUAUGUAAAAAAAAAAA